GAUGAACGCUGGCGGCGUGCCUAAUACAUGCAAGUCGAGCGAACAGACGAGGAGCUUGCUCCUCUGACGUUAGCGGCGGACGGGUGAGUAACACGUGGAUAACCUACCUAUAAGACUGGGAUAACUUCGGGAAACCGGAGCUAAUACCGGAUAAUAUAUUGAACCGCAUGGUUCAAUAGUGAAAGACGGUUUUGCUGUCACUUAUAGAUGGAUCCGCGCCGCAUUAGCUAGUUGGUAAGGUAACGGCUUACCAAGGCAACGAUGCGUAGCCGACCUGAGAGAGUGAUCGGCCGCACUAGAACUGAGACACGGUCCAGACUCCUACGGGAGGCAGCAGUAGGGAAUCUGCCGCAAUGGGCGAAAGCAUGACGGAGCAACGCCGCGUGAGUGAUGAAGGUCUUCGGAUCGUAAAACUCUGUUAUUAGGGAAGAACAAAUGUGUAAGUAACUAUGCACGUCUUGACGGUACCUAAUCAGAAAGCCACGGCUAACUACGUG
rnacentral:rRNA from 1 species